CGGUAUUUUGACCGUGCGAAGGUAGCGCAAUCACUUGUCUUUUAAAUGGAGACCCGUAUGAAUGGCAUAACGAGGGCUUAACUGUCUCCUCUUUCAAGUCAAUGAAAUUGAUCUUCCCGUGCAGAAGCGGGAAUAUAAACAUAAGACGAGAAGACCCUAUGGAGCUUUAGACACCAAGGCGGCCCACGUUAAACACCCCCAAUAAGGGACUAAACCACAGUGAGCCCCGCCCUAAUGUCUUUGGUUGGGGCGACCGCGGGGAACUACAAAACCCCCACGUGGAAUGGGAAUACCCCUCCUACAGCUAAGAGCUACAGCUCUAGUAAACAGAAAUUCUGACCAACAAGAUCCGGCAACGCCGAUCAACGGACCGAGUUACCCUAGGGAUAACAGCGCAAUCCUCUUUUAGAGCCCAUAUCGACAAGGGGGUUUACGACCUCGAUGUUGGAUCAGGACAUCCUAAU
rnacentral:rRNA from 1 species